ensembl:misc_RNA Metazoa_SRP Metazoan signal recognition particle RNA
GCCGGGUGCGGUGGCGCGCGCCUGUAAUCCAAGCUACCGGGAGGCUGAGGCUGGAGGAUCGUUUGAGCUCAGGAGCUCUGAGCUGCAGCGGACUAUGGCGAUCGGGUGUCCGCACUAAGCUCGGUAUCGAUAUGGUGCUCCUGGGGGAGCCCGGGACCACCAGGUCGUCUAAGGAGGGGUGCACCGGCCCAGGUCGGACACGGAGCAGGUCAAAGCCCCCGUGCCGCUCAGUAGUGGGAUCGCGCCUGUGAAUAGACGCUGUAGUGCAGCCUGAGUAAAACAGCGGGACCCAGUCUUUU